ensembl:lncRNA
GGUACUGUGGGACUGUGUGAUUCAAAAUUCAUUUAUUCCCCUUGCCUCUGUUCUAUUUAGAGUUAGUGGUCAGAAAUGUGCUUGCUAAGCAGAUAAAAUCUGUAACUAAGAGUUCUUAGUUAAAUCAUCCACCCUCUUGUUUGCCCGGAACUUGGAAAAUUCCCGGACUCACUAUCAGUAGAACAACCGUCACCAGACGUGCUGACUAUCAGUACGUGACGGCCGUGACCCUGUGGUCACAAGGUCUUACUGUGUGCCUGCUGACCAUCAGCAUGUAAUAAUGAGUCACAAACCUUUGUUCCCGUUCCUGCCUGUUAACCCCCCCUUCAGUCUCCUAUAAAAAUAGCUUUGGAUUCUGUGCCUGCUGCCUCUCUCAGCUACCUUGCUUUGGGAGUGCCGUCUGGCCAGACUAAUAAAGGUCUGUUUUUUUCUUCCCACUUGUCCGGUGUGUUCCUCCCCGGGUGAUUGCCGCUGUAGCCAGCUCCUCGGAGCGUUUGGUAAGGCCCACGGUCUUACAUUUUGGAGGCCCCAGCGAGAUUCCCGGGUAAGGAACCCCAGUUCGGCCGGGACUCUGUGGCGGGAUCCAGCAGGAGACUCGGGCACAGACCUUAAAACCUCCGGAGGAGGACGAAUAUAAGAUUAAAUUUUCUCGUGGAAAACUUCGCUCCCUAUGCCAAUUGGAGUGGCCGGCCUUUGAAGUAGGAUGGCCAGCAGAGGGCUCUUUUGAUCUAAGUCUCUGCCGAGCGGUAUGGAAAAAGGUCACUGGGCACCCUAGCCAUCCUGAUCAGUUUCCAUAUAUAAAUAUCUGGGUCCAAGCUUGUCAGGAGCCCCCGGCUUGGUUGCAACGUUGUUCCUUACGAACAGACUCUCGCCUUUUGGUUAUGACCCCCAGUAAGCCUCAAGAGAAACGGGCUCAAGUUCCCAAGCCGGUGCUCUCGCAAGAUCCUGACCCCUUGGAUCUUGAAAUAAGCCCUCCACCUUAUGUGGGGCCCUCAUCCUCAUCAGAUAAAGUCCACCCUAGAUCUCGGAAUCCUUUUCUUCCUCCUCUUUCAGAAGAAAAAGAAUCCCCUGAUUCUGUAACCUCCCCUUCCCACACGCGAACAGGAGCUGCUUAUGGUCCCAGCAGGGCUCCCACUGAAGGGACUAAUUCAGCUCCUCUUCUGCCUCUUAGGGAAAUAGAACAGGGUCAUUAUGUCUAUAUCCCUUUCUCUACUAGUGACUUGUAUAAUUGGAAACAUCAAAAUCCCCCCUUUUUUCAGAAAAACCCCAGGCUUUGAUUUCCCUCCUAGAAUCUGUUUUUAAUACCCAUGACCCAACCUGGGAUAAUUGCCAGCAACUUCUCCAAGCCCUCUUUACCUCUGAGGAGAGAGAGAAUUCGAGGACAGGCCAUAAAGUCGGUGUUGGGAGGAUCAGAGGGCCCACUUGAUGAAAAUGGAGCCUACAUUGUGCCUAUAGGCCUCAAAGUUCGAGACAGGUAGAAAGAACAAAUAGAACUUUAAAGGAAAUUUUGACUAAAUUAUGCUUGGAGACUGAACUAGGUUGGGUAGAGCUUCUCCCCUUUGCCCUCCUCCGGGUAAGAUGUACUCCUAAGCCUCCCCUCAAUUUGUCCCCCUUCCAAAUUAUUUAUGGGCAAUCUCCCCCAAUCAUUCCAUUAAUAGAUGUAGAGCUAAAGAAAAAGUUUUCCCACCUUCGGCUCCUUAAAUCCUUAAAGGCAGUACAUCAGCUUCAAUCAGAAUUACAUGAGACAUUACGAAGGAAAAUGACUAGUCCAAAUGAAAAACCGUUACAGCCUUUACCCUAUAAGCCGGGAGAUUUGGUUUUUAUUCGCAGGUUUGAUUCCAAAACCCUGGAAGCCCGUUGGAAGGGACCGGUUCCUGUUGUCCUGUCAACUCCCUUGGCGAUGAAAAUGGCUGGACAUUCUGCCUGGAUACAUCGUAACCAUCUAAAGCCAGGACCCCCCACGGACAUCAAAAAGGAUAAAUGGAAAAUAACCAGCCAACCGGGCGACCCAAAGCUAAGAUUGGAGCGAAUUGGAAACGUUUCGCCCUCAUGAUGAUAUUUACCAGGAUAUUGACAGUGUUACCCUCAGGGGAGUUAGAUCACACAAAAAAUAUAUGGAUUCAAUUGGCAAACUCACUUAAUCUAUCUGAAUUCUGUUUAAGUGUUGAUGUAAAUUUUCAUUAUGUAUUAGGAAAUUGUCUUAUCCCGGUAUGCACCCCUUUAGAGUCAAUACGGCCUUAUACUUUAUUUAAAGAUAUUCCAGGAAAGAACCUUACUUAUGUAGAUAGUUAUAAUUGGGGACCUGUCACAUGUUAUAAGCCUAAAAAUGCUGUCAAAUUAUAUACAUCUAAAGUGAUCAUGUCAAAUAAGACUAAAUGUGCUGUGUAUGAAAAUUGUACAACUAAAUGUUUGAAGAUCAAACGGUUAAAAGAAAUGGCCUGCCGAAUAGAACAAAAGAUUGUAUAUGGCAACUGCCAUGUUUCCCUGCCAAUGGGAUGGUUUUAUACCUGUGAAGGAGAAACUUUCAACUACAUUCCAGCCAAUUUGACCAAAACCCGUUGCUGUUUAAAUCGAUUAACUAUAGUAUUACCAGAUAGAACUGAUUUGAUUGUGCCUAACAGAGUUAAACGGUGGUCACCUUAUACUGCACCAGGAUGCGAUGAUGAUGUGGGUCUGCUAACAGAUGCAGAAGUACUAACCAUGAUAGGAUCUCUGGUUGCCAUGCCGUCUAUAGGAGUACAUGCUGAAAAAGCAGUACGAAAAUUAGCUUGUAAAGUAGUAAAAGGAUUAAAUGCCACUUCAUCAGCCUUGGCGCUGAUCAACCAAGAAUUACAAGAACAAAGGCAGGCAAUCUUAGACAAUAGAGCAACAAUAGAUUACCUGUUGCUCUUCCACCACCAAGGUUGUGAAAAGAUAAAAAACAUGUGUUGUUUCAAUUUGACCAAUAAUAAAAAAAAAAAAAAAAUCAAAGAGGAGAUAGAACAAUUAGAGGACCUGGCAAAUAAAGUACACAACAAAGAUGGUGGAGACCUGUUUAAAUGAUUAACCUCAUGGCUGCCCAACCUACAAUGGUUAAAACAAUUAUUCCUUGUCUUUAUAGUCAUAUGUAUUUGCUUAUUAGUAUCAUGCUGUUGUAUACAGUGGAUGCCUAUGUUUAUGCGUAAGAUUACUUAGGUUAUAGAAAAUCAGUGGGGAAUGUGGGACUGUGUGAUUCAAAAUUCAUUUAUUCCCCUUGCCUCUGUUCUGUUUAGAGUUAGUGGUCAGAAAUGUGCUUGCUAAGCAGAUAAAAUCUGUAACUAAGAGUUCUUAGUUAAAUCAUCCACCCUCUUGUUUGCCCGGAACUUGGAAAAUUCCCGGACUCACUAUCAGUAGAACAACCGUCACCAGACGUGCUGACUAUCAGUACGUGACGGCCGUGACCCUGUGGUCACAAGGUCUUACUGUGUGCCUGCUGACCAUCAGCAUGUAAUAAUGAGUCACAAACCUUUGUUCCCGUUCCUGCCUGUUAACCCCCCCUUCAGUCUCCUAUAAAAAUAGCUUUGGAUUCUGUGCCUGCUGCCUCUCUCAGCUACCUUGCUUUGGGAGUGCCGUCUGGCCAGACUAAUAAAGGUCUGUUUUUUUCUUCCCACUGUCCGGUGUGUUCCUCCCCGGGUGAUUGCCGCUGUAGCCAGCUCCUCGGAGCGUUUGGUAAGGCCCACGGUCUUACAGUACCAAAUGUACCUUAGGUAGCUGAGAGAAGAACUCCUCCUUUCAGUAUGGAAUGUGUUAGGAACCAUGGAGGGAGGGAAGAAAGGUGGACAGCAGUGAAAUACCUGGGCCCAACAGGGGGAGCUAUAAAAUAGAAACAGAAGAUUAGAAAAAGGGAGGAACGAAAUUGUCCUCAACAUUCAGUUAAUAUUAUGCCAACUUUUCUCUCCCCGCUGGAAGAAUUAUUGAACCAAUCUGCUGGUUCUUUGGCUUUGGUCCUUAAAGAACACGUUUCUCUCACUUUAGCCACCAGGGGACAGUAAAGAGUGCUUGGAGGUGCAGGGCUGACCUGUUUUGGCCUAGUUUACAGAUCUAAUAAAGGUCAUAGAAAUUGAGAUUGUUGUUCUGUUAAAAAAUAAAAGAGAGAGACAUUGGAGGCUGGUGACAUAAGCACUCGUGUCACUGUCCUUUAUCUUCACGGAGCACAGGAAACACCAGGCCCUCACAGAAUGAGGCAUUUUCAGCCUUCAUGUUUGCCUCCGCUCCUUUGCUCCCUGAGAAGCAGUUUUCAGGGAAAGAGAAAGCCUGUCAUUCCGGAGGUACAGAAGUCUCGUUUAAAAUGAAAUAUAGAUGCCCAUUCUUUCCAAGUUCCUGAGACUUUAAAUGUAAAAGAACUCUGGUCUCAAAGAAAUCUAAAUUAAAGAGAAAUAAUGCUAUGACAAAAAGGAAAAGUUUUAUGUCUCAAAAGACUAGGGCUGACACCCCACCACUUGUGACUUAGGGCACUGGCACUGAGCCCUGAGGACGGGGAGGAGCUGGGGCUUGGAAUUGAGGGGGGAAAGGGCUUUCUACGGGCCCGCUGCCCUGACACAUGGCUGCCUGUGAUCCCACUGACCCCUGCAUGGUCAGCAGCUCCCUCCUGCGCCUUCUCCUGGCCCUCAGCGGGGUUCUCUGCCUCCCCUGCACAUCUCUGCUUUGGUUCAUCUCCAUAUUCGUGUAGAGAGUUAGAUUUUGGAACUCAAGAGAAGGACAAUGAGAGCAGAUGAUUCUCUUAAAAUCUGGACAGUGUUGAGAGCAAAAGUGAUCACCAACUACAAAGUUCAUCAAAAGGAUUGUAGAUUUGGAUAUUAAGAAAGCUUAAAAUGAAGACGAUAACUUUCCCUCUGAAGAUGUGAUCAUUCUGAAAAUGUGGUCAUUUUUAUUCACUUCUAUGACAAUUUCCUUUUGAUUCUAUUACAUUUGAUUCUAUUUGUUACAUAUGCAGAAAAUAGAAAGACACAGAAAAUGUGAAUGAAUGGCUUUUUCAGAGUUAAAUGACAACCACCUGCUUUUUAAUGAUCCAUGAUCUUUUGAUGGUCUAAGUAAUCUAAGCCAACACUGAUGAUUUCAUUAUAUGCUAUUGCAACACAGUAUCAUUUCAGUAUGAAAAUAUCGGUUCCCUAUGUACUCUUUAAUCAGGACCCAUCUCAAGAAGAUAGACAGCUACUAGAUACUCAUGUUUACAAAUUCUACAUUAGACUUCCUGAUUUGCAAAGUAUUCUUGUCUAUUGGGUCACUAAGGCAGGUUUACCUAAUCAUUUUGUGCCAUUCCAAGAUUAGUGAAUCCCCAAAAUUUGUCUAGCCACACUGUUUUCCACACUGCACAUGCUUUGCAUAAUGUGUGUUCUCAAUUAAAACCAAGUUGAAUUUAAUUCUAUUUCUAUUUAUUGGACAGAUGUAUAAUCCACGUGGAAAAGACAGCUUAAACUCUCCUCUUUAAACUAAAAUAAUACCAUGCCUUUUCAGUUCUUACUAUUUUUUUGAAUUUUUCCCAAAGGCCAUGGAUGUACUGAGAAUGAAAUAUAUAUAAGGUCAGAUUUUCAUGGAGUCAUAGAAGAACAGAACCAGCAAAUACAUCUCCAG